UACGUAGGGGGCAAGCGUUGUCCGGAUUUAUUGGGCGUAAAGAGCGUGUAGGCGGCCUGACAGGUCUGCUGUGAAAACUCGAGGCUCAACCUCGAGAUGUCGGCGGAAACCGUCUGGCUAGAGUCCGGAAGAGGAGAGUGGGAAUUCCUGGUGUAGCGGUGAAAUGCGCAGAUAUCAGGAAGAACACCCGUGGCGAAGGCGGCUCUCUGGCCGAUACUGACGCUGAGGAGCGAAGCG
rnacentral:rRNA from 1 species